rnacentral:rRNA from 1 species
AGAUUGAACGCUGGCGGCAGGCCUAACACAUGCAAGUCGAGCGGCAGCACGGGUACUUGUACCUGGUGGCGAGCGGCGGACGGGUGAGUAAUGCCUAGGAAUCUGCCUGGUAGUGGGGGAUAACGCUCGGAAACGGACGCUAAUACCGCAUACGUCCUACGGGAGAAAGCAGGGGACCUUCGGGCCUUGCGCUAUCAGAUGAGCCUAGGUCGAUUAGCUAGUUGGUGAGUAAUGCUCACAAGGCGACGAUCCGUAACGUGGUCUGAGAGGAUGAUCAGUCACAUGGAACUGAGACACGGUCCAGACCUCCGACGGGAGGCAGCUAGUGGGUAAUAGUUGGAAC